UACGUAGGGUGCAAGCGUUAAUCGGAAUUACCGGGCGUAAAGCGUGCGCAGGCGGUUAUGUAAGACAGUUGUGAAAUCCCCGGGCUCAACCUGGGAACUGCAUCUGUGACUGCAUAGCUAGAGUACGGUAGAGGGGGAUGGAAUUCCGCGUGUAGCAGUGAAAUGCGUAGAUAUGCGGAGGAACACCGAUGGCGAAGGCAAUCCCCUGGACCUGUACUGACGCUCAUGCACGAAAGCGUGGGGAGCAAACAGG
rnacentral:rRNA from 1 species